UCCCUACUAGCUCAGUCAGUAAAGAAUCUGCCUGCAAUGCAGGAGACCCGGGUCCAAUUCCUGGGUCGGGAA
rnacentral:tRNA from 1 species